rnacentral:rRNA from 1 species
UCCUCCCGCUGGCGGCGUGCUUAACACACGCAAGUCGAACGGUAAGGCCCUUCGGGGUACACGAGUGGCGAACGGGUGAGUAACACGUGGGUGAUCUGCCCUUGACUUCGUGAUACGCCUGGGAAACUGGGUCUAAUACCGGAUAGGACCACUGCCUGCAUGGGUGGUGGUGGAAAGCUUUUGCGGUGUGGGAUGGGCCCGCGGCCUAGCCGCGGGGUGGUGGGGUGAUGGCCUACCAAGGCGACGACGGGUAGCCGGCCUGAGAUGGUGACCGGCCACACUGGGACUGAGAUACGGCGACGACUCCUGCGGGAGGCAGCAGUGGGGAAUAUUGCCAACGUAGCGCAAGCCGGAUGCAGCGACGCCGCGUGAGGGAUCACCGCGUUCGGGUUCGAUAACUCUUUCAGCACCGACGAAGCGAAAGGGACGGUAGGUGAAGAAGAAGGACAGGCACACUACGUGCCAGCCGCCGCGGUAA